GGCCCAGUGGUGGAUGGUCCGCAUCUGCGAAACGUGAAACUGACAAUAGUGGGUUACAAGCAGAAGACGCUCGUUCGAUUCGAGCCUGGGCCA